rnacentral:rRNA from 1 species
UACGUAGGUGGCAAGCGUUGUCCGGACUUACUGGGCGUAAAGAGCGCGCAGGCGGUCGUUCAAGUCGCGUGUGAAAGCCCCCGGCUCAACUGGGGAGGGUCACGCGAUACUGAUCGACUCGAAGGCAGGAGAGGGUAGUGGAAUUCCCGGUGUAGUGGUGAAAUGCGUAGAUAUCGGGAGGAACACCAGUGGCGAAGGCGGCUACCUGGCCCACUCUUGACGCUGAGGCGCGAAAGCUAGGGGAGCAAACGGG